UUUGGUAAAAAGGCACCUGAUAUUCCAAUGGAUGGAUGAAAAACUCUAGAUUCCCCAGACAAAUCUUAAUCCUACUAAUCUUCAUCAGCAAAUGGCCUGUGCAUUUUAUUAAGAGUGCUAACUUUUUCCCAGGAGGAAGUUUUUCCCAAGUCUAGGUUUGGGACAAUUUUUUGUUUACACUCUUCUUACAGUGAAGCAUAAGAAAGUACACUAAAGUUCUGAAUUUUCCUUGACUUCUUUAGUGCUUUCAAAUAAACAUAGCAAAUUUUCAGUCCUUUUUGAAUGUUUUUCUUCUCUUUUAUGGCCCUGAGCAAAUAUUUAGUCCAGCUGACACAAGGUCCACAGUUAAACACAAAAGCCCUUUUAUUGCACCCAGGUUUCGAUUCCUCUCUUCAGAGUUGAAUCUUACUGGCAUCUUCUUGUUUCUUACAGAUGUCCUGGGCACAAACAAGCAGACCUGUCUACAACUGUGAUUAUCUUUCUCCUUUUCAUCUCUAGAGAUGGCCCCUCCAACCUGACCACCUACCACAGAUGAAUGUGCAAUGAUAUCCAGAUGGAGGAAGAAGAGCUAGGACAAUUUCUCCUCUGAGUGACUUGUCACUAUUCAGGGUGACAAAGGGCUUGUCCGGUGCCUUUUCAGGAAGCCAGACAAAGCAUUUCUGAUGGAAAGAGGAAAAGCCAAGAGACACGACCCAGAGGAAUUCCAACUUGUGGAGGGCCAGGCUGUCUCUGUUAGAGGAUCAGAGAGCUGGACAGAGGAGAGCCCAGCUGAGGUCCCAGUGAACCUGAAAUGGCUGUUUGCAAAACCCUGAAGGAGUUCAUGAGUGCCGGGACUUAUUUGCAUGAGGCCCUGCGUUUGAUUCCCAGGCAUCUCCACCAAAACAAAUACAAAUGGAGGGAACUCUCUUACCUUUCUGAGAAGAUUCACAGAACUCCUGAAUUCUACCCAUGACUGUGGACAUCAAGUUAGGAUCAAUGGAAGAUGAAGACGGAAGAGCAGCCUGUACUUCCUGUUUGCUUUGUCAGAAAACAGCAAUGACUUAAUCUGCUGUGUCUGUGAGGCUUUGUUCUUUCAUGUUCUAGGCUGUGGCUUAACCCUUCAGAACUCUCGUCUAGAGAGCCAGCUCCAUGGAAACACUGACAAGUGGCUUCAGUUAUGACACUUGAAUUAUGGCUCUUGAAGCAAUGUUUUUCUUUCCCUUUUAUUCUUACCCAAACAGCAAUGAAUCAUGUAUCACCUACUUCAUUAGGGCCUACUUCAUUAGCACCUUGCCCUUCUGGCCACACAGAGCAAAGUCAACAGCCUGAGGCCCCAGAACCCACAGCAGCACCUGUCAAAGCACGAGUCCCUGGUCACAGAACAGCUGAGCACUAUUUAUCUAUCUCUAAAGGUUCCUACGAUGUAUGUGUGAGAAAUCCCACCACCAUGGUGGGGAUCUGAAAAUCCAGUGCUCGUGACAUUAUUGUUAUGACUCUCUUCCCCGACCAAGAACAUAGUCUGUGGUUCAGAAUGAUGGGGCUCCCCCUUUCCCUGUUAGCUUAUCAGGUGGGUUGGUGACCAGUAAUCCUGCCAAAAACCAGGCUGUCUGUCAUCUUCUCCAUAUGGACUGGCCCUAGGGUCCAUCUUCUCAUUUCAGUUGGCUUCCUGUAUCCAUAUAUAGACUAUGAGCAAGUACUUCACUACUUGACUUGGGUACUUGGCACAUACCUUUCUUUAUAACACUGAGCAGGCAGGGGCGCCUGGGUGGCUCAGAGGGUUAAGUGUCUGCCUUCGGCUCAGGUCAUGAUCCCAGGGUCCUGGGAUCGAGUCCCGCAUCGGGCUCCCUGCUCCUUGGGAGCCUGCUUCUGCCUCUGCUUCUCUCUCUCUCUCAUGAAUAAAUAAAUAAAAUCUUAAAAAAAAAAACAGAACAAAACACUGAGCAGGUUGAGUCCUUACAGUUGGUGUAAUGCCAAGUGGAUUUAAAUGCCCCUAUAAACUAUUCAAGAGCAGGGAUCAUGCCACUCAUUUUAUGUCUCCACUGAGCAUGGGUGCCUGGUUGUGGCUCUCUAUAAAUAUUUUGGAAUGUGUAUGUUAAUUAAGGUAUACUUUAGUUUUCUCCAAUAAUUCCUUUGUUCAUGAACUCCCUUACCUACACAUCUCUGGUCCAUAUUCUAGUUUGAUCUAUAUUCUAGGCACUAACUUUACGUAUAUAAUUUUUAAUGCACUGAUCAUGCCUGUUUAAAAAAAAAAAGAUCUGUUACGCAUAAGAAAGUUGAGACCCAGAGAGUUUAACUUUCCCAUGUUCAGGUAGCUGUUAAAUUGCUGAACUUUUUUUCCUUAAGUUUAUUUAUUUUUUUUAGUAAUCUCUACACCCAACCUGGGGCUCAAACUCAUGACCCCAAGGUCAAGAGUCACAUGCUCUUUGGACUGAGCCAGCCAGGUGCCCCUCAAGCGCUGAACGUCUUAUCUAAGGGCUCAAACCCCAGUCUUUCUGAGUCUUGUUCUACCUUCCCCUCAGUAUAAGGCAACGGUUCUCCAAGUGUGCUUCACAGGCUCCUGAAAUGUCCCUGAGAUUCUUGUCGGGAUCCACAGGCCGAAACUAUUUUCAUAAUAAUACUGACCCUUUGGGCCUUUUUUUUUUUUUUUUUACUGUGUUGACAAUUGCACCUUGCUGCAGAAGCAGCGGGGAGACUAGCCAUUGCAUUGUUCAGUGCCAUGCCUUUGCAGGAAAACCAACCACGGGCUCACUUUAAAAUGUCCUGAUGAUGGGUGCCUGGGUGGCUCAGUCGGUUAAGCGACUGCCUUCGGCUCAGGUCAUGAUCCUGGAGUCCCGGGAUCGAGUCCCGCAUCGGGCUCCCUGCUCGGCAGGGAGUCUGCUUCUCCCUCUGACCCUCCCCCCUCUCAUGUGCUCUCUCUCAUUCUCUCUCUGAAAUAAAUAAAAUCUUUAAAAAAUAAAAAAAUAAAAAAUAAAAUGUCCUGAUGAAGCUAUACAAAUUAAUUUUAUUAAACCUAGGCCCUUGAGUGCACAUCUUUUUAAUAUUCUGUAUGACAAAAUGGGAAGUACACACAGAGCGCUUGUGCAGAAUUCCAAAAUAUGAUCUAUGUCUUAAGGAGAGCAUUUGUGUGAUUGCUUGAGAUGUGACCUGUACCUGCUGCUUUCUUCAUAGAACACCAUAUUCGCCUGAAGAACAACUAAUAGACAAACUAUGGUUAUUCGGUAUUUCACAGAAAUUUUCUUGAAAAUGAAUGGAGUGAGCUUAAACUAUCAAGGAAACCAACUGACAGUAUUUAUUACCGAUGACUAAAAUUGAGCUUUCAAGAGAAAGAAUUUUGGAAACCCGUGUCUGUCACUGUGACUUUGAUAGUUUCCCAAACACUUAUAACCUUAACUUUUCUGAUGAGAUUCGUGGUGAAAUUAACCAGAAGAUUUAUCCGAUAAGAGAUAUGAAAUGUGUUAACAUUUGGAAGAUCUAGAUUUUCUAAAAGACAAACACUGUUACAAAUCAUGCAUAGAUAAAGUAUCCACUCAAAAAAACAAGGCUAGACCAAUGGAUUUUAAUAUAACAGAGUACGAACAGUUCAUCAAUGUGAUUUUUAAAAAAGAUUUAUUUAUUUAUUUGACAGAAUGAGAGAGAGAAAGCGCACAAGCAGGGGGAGAGGCAGAGGGAGAGGAAGAAGCAGGCUCUCUGCUAAGUAGGGAGCCCGAUGCAGGGCUUGAUUCCAGGACACUGAGAUCAUGACCUGAGCCAAAGGCAGAUACUUAACCCACUGAGCCACCCAAGCACCCCCAUAAAUGUGAGCUUUUUAAAAAAGAUUUUAUUUAUUUAUUUAUUUAGAGAACACAAGCGGGGGGAGGGGAGGGCAGAGAGAGAGAGAGAAUCUUCAGCCGACUCUGUGCUGAGCACAGAGCCUGACAUGGGGCUCGAUCUCAUGACCCAAGAUUAUGACCUGAGCUGAAAUCAAGAGUUGGACGCCCAACCAACUGAACCAGCCAGGCACCCCCAUUGAUGCCAUUUAAGAAACUACAGCUUGUAGAAUUUGGGUGUAGAAUUUAAGAGCAGCCACAAUUAUCUAAAAAGGCUAUUAAAACACUCCUCUUUUCAACUACGUUUUUGUUUGAAGCUGAAUUUUCUUCAUAAGCUUUAAUCGUGACAACAUAUCGGAAUGGGUUGAAUGCAGCAAAUCUGAGAGUCCAACUGUCUUCUAGUAAGCCAGACAUUAAGAGAUUUGCCAAAAUGUAAAGCAGCGCCACCCUUCCUACUAUUUUUUUGAAUAUGUACUUACUUCUCAUUAAAAUAUAUUAUUGUGUUAACAUA